UACGAACCGUCCAAACGUUAUUCGGAAUCACUGGGCUUACAGAGUUCGUAGGCGGUCCCACAAGUUAGGUGUGAAAUCCCUCGGCUCAACCGAGGAACUGCGCUUAAAACUGUGGGACUCGAGGGAGAUAGAGGAAAGCGGAACUGAUGGUGGAGCGGUGAAAUGCGUUGAUAUCAUCAGGAACACCGGUGGCGAAGGCGGCUUUCUGGGUCUUACCUGACGCUGAGGAACGAAAGCCAGGGGAGCGAACGGG
rnacentral:rRNA from 1 species